rnacentral:rRNA from 1 species
GGGUUGUGAGGUUAAGCGACUAAGCGUACACGGUGGAUGCCCUGGCAGUCAGAGGCGAUGAAGGGCGUGCUAAUCUGCGAUAAGCGCCGGUAAGGUGAUAUGAACCGUUAUAACCGGCGAUACCCGAAUGGGGAAACCCAGUGUGAUUCGUCACACUAUCAUUAACUGAAUCCAUAGGUUAAUGAGGCGAACCGGGGGAACUGAAACAUCUAAGUACCCCGAGGAAAAGAAAUCAACCGAGAUUCCCCCAGUAGCGGCGAGCGAACGGGGAGGAGCCCAGAGCCUGAAUCAGCAUGUGUGUUAGUGGAAGCGUCUGGAAAGGCGCGCGAUACAGGGUGACAGCCCCGUACACAAAAGCGCAUGUGCUGUGAGCUCGAUGAGUAGGGCGGGACACGUGGUAUCCUGUCUGAAUAUGGGGGGACCAUCCUCCAAGGCUAAAUACUCCUGACUGACCGAUAGUGAACCAGUACCGUGAGGGAAAGGCGAAAAGAACCCCGGCGAGGGGAGUGAAAAAGAACCUGAAACCGUGUACGUACAAGCAGUGGGAGCACAGGUUUACCUGUGUGACUGCGUACCUUUUGUAUAAUGGGUCAGCGACUUAUAUUCUGUAGCAAGGUUAACCGAAUAGGGGAGCCGGAGGGAAACCGAGUCUUAAUUGGGCGUUAAGUUGCAGGGUAUAGACCCGAAACCCGGUGAUCUAGCCAUGGGCAGGUUGAAGGUUGGGUAACACUAACUGGAGGACCGAACCGACUAAUGUUGAAAAAUUAGCGGAUGACCUGUGGCUGGGGGUGAAAGGCCAAUCAAACCGGGAGAUAGCUGGUUCUCCCCGAAAGCUAUUUAGGUAGCGCCUCGUGAAUUCAUCUCCGGGGGUAGAGCACUGUUUCGGCUAGGGGGCCAUCCCGGCUUACCAACCCGAUGCAAACUGCGAAUACCGGAGAAUGUUAUCACGGGAGACACACGGCGGGUGCUAACGUCCGUCGUGAAGAGGGAAACAACCCAGACCGCCAGCUAAGGUCCCAAAGUCAUGGUUAAGUGGGAAACGAUGUGGGAAGGCCCAGACAGCCAGGAUGUUGGCUUAGAAGCAGCCAUCAUUUAAAGAAAGCGUAAUAGCUCACUGGUCGAGUCGGCCUGCGCGGAAGAUGUAACGGGGCUAAACCAUGCACCGAAGCUGCGGCAGCGACGCUUAUGCGUUGUUGGGUAGGGGAGCGUUCUGUAAGCCUGUGAAGGUGGCCUGUGAGGGUUGCUGGAGGUAUCAGAAGUGCGAAUGCUGACAUAAGUAACGAUAAAGCGGGUGAAAAGCCCGCUCGCCGGAAGACCAAGGGUUCCUGUCCAACGUUAAUCGGGGCAGGGUGAGUCGACCCCUAAGGCGAGGCCGAAAGGCGUAGUCGAUGGGAAACGGGUUAAUAUUCCCGUACUUGGUGUUACUGCGAAGGGGGGACGGAGAAGGCUAUGUUGGCCGGGCGACGGUUGCCCCGGUUUAAGCGUGUAGGUGUGUGUUCCAGGUAAAUCCGGUUCACUUUAACACUGAGGCGUGAUGACGAGGCACUACGGUGCUGAAGUAACAAAUGCCCUGCUUCCAGGAAAAGCCUCUAAGCAUCAGGUAACAUCAAAUCGUACCCCAAACCGACACAGGUGGUCAGGUAGAGAAUACCAAGGCGCUUGAGAGAACUCGGGUGAAGGAACUAGGCAAAAUGGUGCCGUAACUUCGGGAGAAGGCACGCUGACACGUAGGUGAAGUGAUUUACUCAUGGAGCUGAAGUCAGUCGAAGAUACCAGCUGGCUGCAACUGUUUAUUAAAAACACAGCACUGUGCAAACACGAAAGUGGACGUAUACGGUGUGACGCCUGCCCGGUGCCGGAAGGUUAAUUGAUGGGGUCAGCGCAAGCGAAGCUCCUGAUCGAAGCCCCGGUAAACGGCGGCCGUAACUAUAACGGUCCUAAGGUAGCGAAAUUCCUUGUCGGGUAAGUUCCGACCUGCACGAAUGGCGUAAUGAUGGCCAGGCUGUCUCCACCCGAGACUCAGUGAAAUUGAACUCGCUGUGAAGAUGCAGUGUACCCGCGGCAAGACGGAAAGACCCCGUGAACCUUUACUAUAGCUUGACACUGAACAUUGAGCCUUGAUGUGUAGGAUAGGUGGGAGGCUUUGAAGUGUGGACGCCAGUCUGCAUGGAGCCGACCUUGAAAUACCACCCUUUAAUGUUUGAUGUUCUAACGUGGACCCGUUACCCGGGUUGCGGACAGUGUCUGGUGGGUAGUUUGACUGGGGCGGUCUCCUCCUAAAGAGUAACGGAGGAGCACGAAGGUUGGCUAAUCCUGGUCGGACAUCAGGAGGUUAGUGCAAUGGCAUAAGCCAGCUUGACUGCGAGCGUGACGGCGCGAGCAGGUGCGAAAGCAGGUCAUAGUGAUCCGGUGGUUCUGAAUGGAAGGGCCAUCGCUCAACGGAUAAAAGGUACUCCGGGGAUAACAGGCUGAUACCGCCCAAGAGUUCAUAUCGACGGCGGUGUUUGGCACCUCGAUGUCGGCUCAUCACAUCCUGGGGCUGAAGUAGGUCCCAAGGGUAUGGCUGUUCGCCAUUUAAAGUGGUACGCGAGCUGGGUUUAGAACGUCGUGAGACAGUUCGGUCCCUAUCUGCCGUGGGCGCUGGAGAACUGAGGGGGGCUGCUCCUAGUACGAGAGGACCGGAGUGGACGCAUCACUGGUGUUCGGGUUGUCAUGCCAAUGGCACUGCCCGGUAGCUAAAUGCGGAAGAGAUAAGUGCUGAAAGCAUCUAAGCACGAAACUUGCCCCGAGAUGAGUUCUCCCUGAGACUUAAAGUCUCCUGAAGGAACGUUGAAGACGACGACGUUGAUAGGCCGGGUGUGUAAGCGCAGCGAUGCGUUGAGCUAACCGGUACUAAUGAACCGUGAGGCUUAACCCUACAACGCCGAAG